UUUGUAGCAAGGUGGAUGGACCUAGAGCCUGUCAUACAGAGUGAAUGGUUCCAGCCCACCAAGUUGACUACAUGGCUUACAAACUGUGGUUUGAAAAACAUUAUUCUAGAGAAAGCAAAUCAUGGAUAAAUUCAGAUUCUAAAACAGAAGUGAAAACACAAGAUGAUACUGAACACUGAGAGUAGUCUGGAAUGAACUAUAGGUUGAAAAACUCAUUUUUUAAAACAUAGAGAUUUAAGUUGCCAUUCUUCCUAAUAUAUGAAAUACUUAUUCCUUCCUAAAAAACUGCAUUACAUUUGAUGAGGCUGAAGUGCAGCUGAUGAGCAAGUCUCUGGACAAGCGUUGUAAUGAGCUGGAAGAGAAUGCAGAACGGACAUUGAUGUGACUGCACCAUUCAUCAGCUCUGUGACCCUGGACCUUCUGGAGCCUCAGUUUCUCCUUCAAUAAAAUAAGGGAAUUGUGCAUAA